AAAAACAUUAGGAAAUUGAUGUAAUGAAUGAACAGCUCUACAGCAUACUGUGAAAUCUAUGGCAAGAAUAAUAUUAUAGUAUAUCCACAAGACUUUGCUCUCUAAAGUAUUUCAUCCAGUCUGUUUUCUUUUUUUUUGUGAAUAAGCUCUUUAUAUGGGUCCUGUGUCCGGUCCAAGCUGUGAGAGCGAAGGAAUCAGAUACAAGUUGGGAAAAUGCGUGGUGAGUUUUCAGGAGCUACUUACUGGAUUUUUUUGCCUUAUGCAUGGGGGAAAAGACCCAGGGUACUAUAAAUAAUGUACGAGUAAAUAUACAACUGAAACAAAAUGAUUGACAUGGAAUUUAGGUUUGAAUGCAUGUAAUUUCAGGGUGGCAUAACAUCUGAUCAUCUGACGGAAUAAGUGUUAAAUCACUUCAUUGUGGUUGGAGAGAGAGCUUUAUAUUUAUAUCUUUUGCCAAGUAAUGAUGGAUAAACUUUAGGUUUGAGAAGCUCAUGAGAUGUUUUUAGAACUGGUUUUACAUCGUUACGAAGUUGAAAAAUGUAUUGUGGAUUUGAGAGCUUUUGUAUUAACAGCUUUCUUUCCCUUCCUGCAUUCAUAUCUUGUAGUUUCUUAAAACGAAUGGCUGAGUGAAAAUCUGGUAUGAUGACAAAAAGACCCUUUUCUGUGAAACUCGUACAUUAUCAGACAUCAUGGCACAGAUUACCCCACACUCCCCCUAAUAUUCUUGCCCUGGUCUCUCUCUCUCUCUCUCUCUCUCUCUCUCUCUCUCACUCACUCUCCUGACCACAAAAGAAAGAAAUCAUUGAGUUUUUCUCUUUUUAUAAACACUCCCUCCCCUUUCAGUAGUCUCCAAAUAGGGACACAGACUUUCAGGUUCCCAAACUUUGUUGGAAGAAGUGAAAAGAAGUUUAAGGCAGACUUUGUGUACUCUGUUUCUCUGCCUCUGAAUGGCAAAGCAAAGAACAGCUCUUUGAACAUUUUGACCAGACACAUGGCUCUACCUUGUGACACGGCAGAAGAUUCUGGCAAAGCGUGCUGAACGACCACAAAAUCCAAAAGUGCUCACACUGUGGAAAAGAGCUGCUGUCUUCCCUCGAAGACAGAUAUCGCAUUUCACACAUUUCCAGAUGUUGAAAGGAGUGUUGGGACACCCUGGAGUAAGAUAUUGUGUGAGUUGUCAGUUCAGUCACAUCUGGAGACAUGAGAGAUGAGGUGAUGAGCCUCAGAGAGCAUCAGAGAGCAGGAGAUAAAACUGGAAAAAAAAAAAACCAAAACAUUUAUUAUCCAGCAUUUUGACUUGUUUUGCAACCAAAAUACUUAAACAACCUUAAAGCAACCUAAGAUGCAAAACUGCAUAAGAUUAUAAAACUUUCAGAGAAUAUAUCUUGAAUUAUUUUUUCUUUGCCCAUUAAAAAAAAUAUUUUUUUUAACAAGAAAAGACAAACCUCCCUACGUUUUAUUCUGUCAAUUUUUUUUAUUCAUUUAUUGCCAUGUUUAUUUUAUUAUUCAACAUAAAAGGAAACUUUAUUUUUAGUUUAUAAAACCAUUUAAAAACUCAUGAUCAUCCACGAUUAAUACAAGAUGAUGCUUUUGAUGCCAAGGGCACUAUGUAGAAACUGUAAAAAGGAAUGUGUGAUUGUAUUAUUUAAGACAGGCCUCACACUUUUUCUUUAAAAGAGUGAAAAAAGAGAGCGAGAGAGGGGUGGAGGGCACUCGUCCUUGUACAUGGAAGACUAAACAAACAGCCUCCCCUUCUAGAGAGGUCAUGUGCUAC
ensembl:lncRNA